rfam:Hordeum vulgare subsp. vulgare, WGS project CAJW01000000 data, contig: morex_contig_40224
CACAUACUCCCUCCGUCCGGGAUUACUUGUCGCACAAAUGUACAAAAAUAGAUGUAUUUAGAAUUAAAAUAUAUCUAGAUACAUACAUUCCUAUAACAAAUAUUUUCGGACGGAGGGAGUACAAG